rnacentral:rRNA from 1 species
AUACGUAGGUGGCAAGCGUUGUCCGGAAUUACUGGGCGUAAAGGGCGUGUAGGCGGCCUUUUAAGUCAGGCGUGAAAUCCAUGGGCUUAACCCAUGAAUUGCGUUUGAAACUGGAGGGCUUGAGGAUCGGAGAGGGCAGUGGAAUUCCCAGUGUAGCGGUGAAAUGCGUAGAUAUUGGGAGGAACACCAGUGGCGAAGGCGACUGCCUGGACGACACCUGACGCUGAGGCGCGAAAGCUAGGGGAGCAAACGGGAUUAGAUACCCCGGUAGUCCUAGCCGUAAACGAUGGGUACUAGGUGUGGGAGGUAUCGACCCCUUCCGUGCCGCAGUUAACACAAUAAGUACCCCGCCUGGGGAGUACGGCCGCAAGGUUGAA